rnacentral:rRNA from 1 species
GAUGAACGCUGGCGGCGUGCUUAACACAUGCAAGUCGAACGGUGAACACGGAGCUUGCGCUGUGGGAUCAGUGGCGAACGGGUGAGUAACACGUGAGCAACCUGCCCCUGACUCUGGGAUAAGCGCUGGAAACGGCGUCGAAUACUGGAUAUGUGACGUGACCGCAUGGUCUGCGUUUGGAAAGAUUUUUCGGUUGGGGAUGGGCGCGCGGCCUAUCAGCUUGUUGGUGAGGUAAUGGCUCACCAAGGCGUCGACGGGUAGCCGGCCUGAGCGGGUGACCGGCCACACUGGGACUGAGGCACGGCCCCAACUGCUACGGGAGGCAGCAGUGGGGAAUAUUGCACAAUGGGCGCAAGCCUGAUGCAGCAACGCCGCGUGAGGGAUGACGGCCUUCGGGUUGUAAACCGCUUUUAGCAGGGAAGAAGCGAAAGUGACGGUACCUGCAGAAAAAGCGCCGGCUAACUACGUG